CCUGCAUUUAUUUGUUAUUUUUACAAUGAUUUUUAACAAAAUUAAUUUUUAUAAAUGUUAGCUAAUUGUUUUUCUUCCAAAAAUAUCAAAUGUGUAGUGUAUAUAGGAAAUAAAACUAUAGAGUUUAAUUUUUUAUUGAUGUCAAACAUAAGUUCUUUUUGUAAUUUUCCCAAAGAGGGCAAUUUCGUCAUUAAACUUGACUCUUGACACGGCAUGAAAUGAUGGGGAAAAAAUGAAUGAGGGGAAUUUCGUCAUUAAACUUGACAUACCGACACGGCAUGAAAUGAUGGGGAAAAGGACUGUGACCCACGGGUCCCCAUAGAGCAGCUGGUAGCAUUCUCAAAAUACCAAAAACGUGCAACAUUUAUAGGACUGUUCUCAGUGUCUCGUCGUCAUCCUG
rnacentral:lncRNA from 1 species